CUUCAUUUUAUAAUUGUUCUACACCUGUAGUAUAUAUUUGUUAUUAUAGUUGCUAUAAUCUCGUCCGUGUGUUAAUAUAUAAACCUGUGGAAUUGUCCAGAGCUUAAGCUUAAAAAACUACCUGACAAUGGGGUGUGGUUCUUCGGUGCCGGAAGAGCACUUUCGCCUACAAGCUUUUGACUAUAGUGAAUUUGACAAACAGCAGGAAUCGGCGCAUGAAGACGUCGACGUCAAUCGCGUCGGCGACACCGUCGACAACGUCAGCACGAACGGAGAAGAUCGUCAGACAUCGGAUCAGAAACAAGAUUGAUGACCACGUCAGUCAGUGGCGGAUCACGGGGUGUGUGGAGAAGUGAGGGGUGGGGAUGAAAGGUACAGUCGCCGACUGCUAAAACGAAAGAUCAUAUUCUGAAGGAAACAACGCGCGAGACUUGUCGUAUCUCACGUAUAGGAGAUUGAUCUAAACACACAGAUCCUGUUGGCUACUCCACGGCGAUAACCUAAAGGUGAAAGCCACAGCAUCCAAUGAAAUUUACACUACGGCAACUGAUUUUUCUCUAACGUAUAACUGAAUAAACGCACGAAUGCUCUGAAAAUAAAUAGUACAGUGGGAAAGACGUUUAUUUUAAAUCGUCUUGUUUUUUCACGAUAGGUAUGAAAGAGAAAACUACAAACUGUCUUUUUCAGUUACAUCUGAACUGGAUAUAAUAUAGUGUCGAACUCACAUUCACUCGUUAGAUAAAGUUUUAAGAAACUUGAUUAAUACAUCAGAGUCGUAGCUAGUGGUGUGUGUGUGUGUGGGGCAAGAGGUGCUCCCCCCAAAAAAACAAAUCUGGUAAAAAUAAUAGAAACUUUUAAAAAAUCCUCUUCUUAACGGUUUGAUGAGUUUUAAGUAUGUAUCCUCCCUGAAAUGGCUGCAAAAUGGUAUUUCAGUCUCUAGAUUUCAAAAUGUUCCUGGGGGCAUGCCCCUGGAUCCCCUAGUGUCUUGCGCCUUCCAUGCCCGUUCAUUUUUCGCUCCAGACAGUGCACCACGACUGAUAUGUGCUAUCUUGUCUGUGGGAUGGUUUAUAUAAAAGAUCCCUUGCUGCUAAUCGAAGAGAGUAGCCCAUGAAGUAGCGACAGCGGGGUUCCUCCCUCAAUAUCUGUGUGGUCCUUAACCUUAUGUCUUAUGCCAUAUAACCGUAAAUAAAAUGUGCUGAAUGCGUCGUUAAAUAAAACAUUUCCUUCCUUCCUUCUUCUUCCAUGCCCGUUCAUUCCAAGAGAUCGUCUGUUCCCUCCACAAAAAAACCCUAGCUACGUUUGAUGAGUUUUAAGUAUGUAUCCUCUCUGACAUAGCUGCAAAAUGGUAUUUCAGAGUCUCUAGAUUUCAACAUUUUCCUGGGGGCAUGCCCCCGGAUCCCCUAGUGUCGUGCGUUUUCCAUGCCCGUUCAUUCGAAGCGUUCAUCUGCCCCCUCCACAACAGAAAUCCUAGCU